rnacentral:rRNA from 1 species
UACGUAGGGGGCAAGCGUUGUCCGGAUUUAUUGGGCGUAAAGAGCGUGUAGGCGGCCUUACAGGUCAGGUGUGAAAACUCGAGGCUCAACCUCGAGACGUCGGUUGAAACCGUAAGGCUAGAGUCCGGAAGAGGAGAGUGGAAUUCCCGGUGUAGCGGUGAAAUGCGCAGAUAUCGGGAAGAACACCCGUGGCGAAGGCGGCUCUCUGGGACGGUACUGACGCUGAGACGCGAAAGCGUGGGGAGCGAACAGG